GUAGGUGGCAAGCGUUGUCCGGAAUUAUUGGGCGUAAAGCGCGCGCAGGCGGUUUCUUAAGUCUGAUGUGAAAGCCCACGGCUCAACCGUGGAGGGUCAUUGGAAACUGGGGAACUUGAGUGCAGAAGAGGAAAGUGGAAUUCCACGUGUAGCGGUGAAAUGCGUAGAGAUGUGGAGGAACACCAGUGGCGAAGGCGACUUUCUGGUCUGUAACUGACGCUGAGGCGCGAAAGCGUGGGGAGCAAACAGGAUUAGAUACCCUGGUAGUCCACCCCGUAAACGAUGAGUGCUAAGUGUUAGAGGGGUUUUCCGCCCCUUUAGUGCUGCAGCUAACGCAUUAAGCACUCCGCCUGGGAGUACGGUCGCAAGACUG
rnacentral:rRNA from 1 species